UACGGAGGGUGCAAGCGUUGUCCGGAAUCACUGGGCGUAAAGCGCGCGCAGGCGGUCUUCCAAGUCAGUGGUGAAAGCCCGGAGCUCAACUCCGGAAUUGCCAUUGAAACUGUGAGACUGGAGUACGAGAGAGGUGAGUGGAAUUCCCAGUGUAGAGGUGAAAUUCGUAGAUAUUGGGAAGAACACCGGUGGCGAAGGCGGCUCACUGGCUCGUAACUGACGCUCAGGCGCGACAGCGUGGGGAUCAAACAGG
rnacentral:rRNA from 1 species